rnacentral:tRNA from 1 species
GGGGCUGUGUCUCAGUUGGUAGAGUGCUUGCGUAGCAUGCAUAAGGCCCUGGGUUCCAUUCCCAGCAGCACCC